rnacentral:tRNA from 1 species
CCGACCUUAGCUCAGUUGGUAGAGCGGAGGACUGUAGUAGACGCAGAUUAUCCUUAGGUCACUGGUUCGAAUCCGGUAGGUCGGACCA